CAAACCUUAAGGGAACAAAAAGAAAAAGGUAUGAUACUGAAGAGCAGGGCUGAUGGAGUACUAAAGAAAAGGAAAGCACAGAAAAUAUAUCAGGGUGCUUGUUAAAUAGUUACUGAUAGGUACAGAGUUCACGGAAUAACAGCUUUUGAACAGAUCAAGUAAUCCUGGGACAAGGUCUAUUACUGUCAGAUCUGCUUGUAGUUUACUGUGAUUUCUCCUGGGGCUGGGGCACUGUCCAGCCACCUCCUGUCUCACCCCUCCAGUCUUGAGUCCGUAACCAAUUUUUAAACCCUCUGAAAGUCCCAGCCCCAAACCUCUGAUUUUCCCCCCUCCGUGUAAACUUUUACUACCAGCACUUCAAGCUGUGGAGGCUGAGUGUUACAGCCACUGGGUUUUGAUUUUACCUUCAGAGUUUGAAGCAAGAAGAGGAGUCGGCUUACUCUGAAAACUAUGAGACCAGAGUUGCUUUUUUCCUUCAGAUUUUUUUGAUAGACACACCAGAGAAAUAAACAACUGAGCAAAACC